UAGGGAAUCUUCCACAAUGGACGCAAGUCUGAUGGAGCAACGCCGCGUGAGUGAAGAAGGUUUUCGGACCGUAAAGCUCUGUUGUUGGUGAAGAAGGAUAGAGGUAGUAACUGGCCUUUAUUUGACGGUAAUCAACCAGAAAGUCACGGCUAACUACGUGCCAGCAGCCGCGGUAAUACGUAGGUGGCAAGCGUUGUCCGGAUUUAUUGGGCGUAAAGCGAGCGCAGGCGGAAGAAUAAGUCUGAUGUGAAAGCCCUCGGCUUAACCGAGGAAUUGCAUCGGAAACUGUUUUCUUGAGUGCAGAAGAGGAGAGUAGAACUCCAUGUGUAGCGGUGGAAUGCGUAGAUAUAUGGAAGAAUACCAGUGGCGAAGGCGGCUCUCUGGUCUGCAAACUGACGCUGAGGCUCGAAAGCAUGGGUAGCGAACAGGAUUAGAUACCCUGGUAGUCCAUGCCGUAAACGAUGAGUGCUAAGUGUUGGGAGGCUUCCGCCUCUCAGUGCUGCAGCUAACGCAUUAAGCACUCCGCCUGGGGAGUACGACCGCAAGGUUGAAAC
rnacentral:rRNA from 1 species